AGAGUUUGAUCAUGGCUCAGAAUGAACGCUGGCGGCAUGCCUAACACAUGCAAGUCGAACGAGACCUUCGGGUCUAGUGGCGCACGGGUGCGUAACGCGUGGGAAUCUGCCCCUUGGUUCGGAAUAACUCAGAGAAAUUUGAGCUAAUACCGGAUGAUGACGUAAGUCCAAAGAUUUAUCGCCAAGGGAUGAGCCCGCGUAGGAUUAGCUAGUUGGUGUGGUAAAGGCGCACCAAGGCGACGAUCCUUAGCUGGUCUGAGAGGAUGAUCAGCCACACUGGGACUGAGACACGGCCCAGACUCCUACGGGAGGCAGCAGUGGGGAAUAUUGGACAAUGGGCGAAAGCCUGAUCCAGCAAUGCCGCGUGAGUGAUGAAGGCCUUAGGGUUGUAAAGCUCUUUUACCCGGGAAGAUAAUGACUGUACCGGGAGAAUAAGCCCCGGCUAACUCCGUGCCAGCAGCCGCGGUAAUAC
rnacentral:rRNA from 1 species